rnacentral:rRNA from 1 species
AUUGAACGCUGGCGGCAUGCUUUACACAUGCAAGUCGAACGGUAACAGGUUAAGCUGACGAGUGGCGAACGGGUGAGUAAUGCAUCGGAACGUGCCCGAUCGUGGGGGAUAACGCAGCGAAAGCUGCGCUAAUACCGCAUACGAUCUGAGGACGAAAGCGGGGGACCGUAAGGCCGCGCGCGAUAGGAGCGGCCGAUGUCAGAUUAGGUAGAUGGUAGGGUAAAGGCUCACCAAGCCAACGAUCUGUAGCUGGUCUGAGAGGACGACCAGCCACACUGGGACUGAGACACGGCCCAGACUCCUACGGGAGGCAGCAGUGGGGAAUUUUGGACAAUAGGCGAAAGCCUGAUCCAGCAAUGCCGCGUGCAGGAAGAAGGCCUUCGGGUUGUAAACUGCUUUUGUACGGAGCGAAAAGGCCCUCUCUAAUACCGUGGGCUCAUUACGGUACCGUAAGAAUAAGCACCGGCUAACUACGUGCCAGCAGCCGCAGUAA